rnacentral:rRNA from 1 species
UACGUAGGGUGCAGGCGUUAAUCGGAAUUACUGGGCGUAAAGCGUGCGCAGGCGGUUUCUUAAGUCAGAUGUGAAAGCCCCGGGCUUAACCUGGGAACUGCGUUUGAAACUGGGAGACUUAAGUGUGGCAGAGGGGGGUGGAAUUCCACGUGUAGCAGUGAAAUGCGUAGAUAUGUGGAGGAACACCGAUGGCGAAGGCAGCCCCCUGGGUUAACACUGACGCUCAUGCACGAAAGCGUGGGGAGCAAACAGG